rnacentral:rRNA from 1 species
UGAUCCUGGUUCAGAUGAACGUUGGCGGCAUCCCUAACACAGGCAAGUCGAACGGUAACAGGUCUUCGGAUGCUGACGAGUGGCGAACGGGUGAGUAAUACAUCGGAACGUGCCCAGUAAUGGGGGGUAGCUCGGCGAAAGCCGGAUUAAUACCGCAUACGCCCUGAGGGAGAAAGUGGGGGAUCGCAAGACCUCACGUUAUUGGAGCGGCCGAUGGCUGAUUAGCUAGUUGGUAGGGUAAAGGCCUACCAAGGCGACGAUCAGUAGCUGGUCUGAGAGGACGAUCAGCCACACUGGGACUGAGACACGGCCCAGACUCCUACGGGAGGCAGCAGUGGGGAAUUUUGGACAAUGGGGGAAACCCUGAUCCAGCAAUGCCGCGUGUGCGAAGAAGGCCUUCGGGUUGUAAAGCACUUUUGUCAGGGAAGAAAUCCUUUGGGC